AACGCACAUUGCGCCCCUUGGUAUUCCGAGGGGCAUGCCUGUUCGAGCGUCAUUAAACCCCUCAAGCUCUGCUUGGUGUUGGGGCCCGCGGUCUCGCGGCCCUUAAAAUCAGUGGCGGUGCCGUCUGGCUCUCAGCGUAGUAAUGCUCUCGCUACAGGGUCCAGCCGGUGGCUGCCAGAACCCCCAACUUUCUCAGUUUGACCUCGGAUCAGGUAGGGAUACCCGCUGAACUUAA
rnacentral:misc_RNA from 1 species